CCUUUGGAGAUAUGAUGUGUGAGACCUGUAGGGAAUGCGUUGGAGCUCAAACUCUGUAAAAUCCC
rnacentral:ncRNA from 1 species